rnacentral:ncRNA from 1 species
UAUCUUUGCCCCCGAUUUAAAAUACAUAAUAAUCAUUAAAUAAUAUUGGAAUG